rnacentral:rRNA from 1 species
ACGGGAAAUAUUUCAUUGAGACUUCGGUGGAUUUGAUCUAUUUCUAGUGGCGGACGGGUGAGUAACGCGUGGGUAACCUGCCUUAUACAGGGGGAUAACAGUCAGAAAUGGCUGCUAAUACCGCAUAAGCGCACAGAGCUGCAUGGCUCAGUGUGAAAAACUCCGGUGGUAUAAGAUGGACCCGCGUUGGAUUAGCUAGUUGGUGGGGUAACGGCCCACCAAGGCGACGAUCCAUAGCCGGCCUGAGAGGGUGAACGGCCACAUUGGGACUGAGACACGGCCCAGACUCCUACGGGAGGCAGCAGUGGGGAAUAUUGCACAAUGGGGGAAACCCUGAUGCAGCGACGCCGCGUGAAGGAAGAAGUAUCUCGGUAUGUAAACUUCUAUCAGCAGGGAAGAUAGUGACGGUACCUGACUAAGAAGCCCCGGCUAACUACGUGCCAGCAGCCGCGGUAAUACGUAGGGGGCAAGCGUUAUCCGGAUUUACUGGGUGUAAAGGGAGCGUAGACGGUGUGGCAAGUCUGAUGUGAAAGGCAUGGGCUCAACCUGUGGACUGCAUUGGAAACUGUCAUACUUGAGUGCCGGAGGGGUAAGCGGAUUCCUAGUGUAGCGGUGAAAU